rnacentral:rRNA from 1 species
CUAGGAUUAGAUACCCUAUUAUUAAAAUUUAAAUUAAAAAUACUAAAAUAGUAGGUAAUUAUUUAUUGAAACUUAAAUAAUUUGGCGGUAUUUUAGUUCAUUUAGAGGAAUCUGUUUAAUAAUUGAUAAUCCACGAAUAAAUUUACUUAAUUUUUUAUUUUGUAUAUCGUUGUUAAAAAAAUAUUUUUUAAUAAUAAUAAUAUUUAAAAAUUUUGAUUAAAAAUUAAAUCAGAUCAAGAUGCAGAUUAUAGUUAAGAAUAUAAUGGAUUACAAUAAAUUUAUUUAGAUGAAUAUUAAUU